ACGAUGUUCCGCUGCAGGAAAUUCUGAUAAGAGCAUCUG
rfam:Bacillus pseudofirmus OF4, complete genome.